rnacentral:piRNA from 1 species
UAGUUUCUUCUCCUUAUAUUCUGCAGAC